GACGAACGCUGGCGGCGUGCUUAACACAUGCAAGUCGAACGGAAAGGCCCUGCUUUUGUGGGGUGCUCGAGUGGCGAACGGGUGAGUAACACGUGAGUAACCUGCCCUUGACUUUGGGAUAACUUCAGGAAACUGGGGCUAAUACCGGAUAGGAGCUCCUGCUGCAUGGUGGGGGUUGGAAAGUUUCGGCGGUUGGGGAUGGACUCGCGGCUUAUCAGCUUGUUGGUGGGGUAGUGGCUUACCAAGGCUUUGACGGGUAGCCGGCCUGAGAGGGUGACCGGCCACAUUGGGACUGAGAUACGGCCCAGACUCCUACGGGCGGCAGCAGUGGGGAAUGUUGCACAAUGGGCGGAAGCCUGAUGCAGCAACGCCGCGUGCGGGAUGACGGCCUUCGGGUUGUAACCGCUUUCGCCUGUGACGAAGCGUGAGUGACGGUAAUGGGUAAAGAAGCACCGGCUAACUACGUG
rnacentral:rRNA from 1 species